rnacentral:rRNA from 1 species
GACGAACGCUGGCGGCGUGCUUAACACAUGCAAGUCGAACGGAAAGGCCCUGCUUUUGUGGGGUGCUCGAGUGGCGAACGGGUGAGUAACACGUGAGUAACCUGCCCUUGACUUUGGGAUAACUUCAGGAAACUGGGGCUAAUACCGGAUCGGAGCUCCUGCUGCAUGGUGGGGGUUGGAAAGUUUCGGCGGUUGGGGAUGGACUCGCGGCUUAUCAGCUUGUUGGUGGGGUAGUGGCUUACCAAGGCUUUGGCGGGUAGCCGGCCUGAGAGGGUGACCGGCCACAUUGGGACUGAGAUACGGCCCAGACUCCUACGGGAGGCAGCAGUGGGGAAUAUUGCACAAUGGGCGGAAGCCUGAUGCAGCAACGCCGCGUGCGGGAUGACGGCCUUCGGGUUGUAAACCGCUUUCGCCUGUGACGAAGCGUGAGUGACGGUAAUGGGUAAAGAAGCACCGGCUAACUACGUG